ensembl:lncRNA
AAAGUACAACUAAAACUAAAAUGAAAACUAUAAUAAAAAAAACUACAAUAAAAUAAAUAAAUAAAUACCUAAAUAAACCCAAUUACCAAAGAUUUGUGCUUUAAAUGUGGCAAUGCAAUGAAGCUUGUAAUGUGUGAAUCAGACACUAUUACUACUUAGUACUAAUACUACAGCAUCACUGAUAACAACAACCUCAAAACACACGUUCAGUGCAGCUGUUUGAAUGGGAACACAAUUUCCAUUGCAAAAUCAAUAAUGAAGAUGCAGUUAUGAUCCUGACUCACUGAUGCAUUAGUGCCGUUGUUCCAGGCGCAGCACGAACAAAGAGGAAGUUCCCAGCGGCACCAGCUGACAAUCACCAUUAAAUGAAAGGCCACAUUAAACGAAUGGAGUGCAACGCACCUCCACAAAGUAGUUAACAGCACCAGCCAACUUUGAAACGCUGAUGCUUCACUUGGCACCGUGUGCUGCUCGCUUCAGUUUGCUUUGGACGCUCUCAAAGGGCUCUUCACAAAGGGCUCUUAUUGAAAGUGUCGGCACCCAGCCAGCGGCCCGACAGAACGCCACGUUUAACAAGGGACGUAAAUAAUAAUAAUGCACCAUCCUAUGACAGAUGAGAACACGUGUGGAAUAUCAAUGUGUUUCUAAAGGAUCUCGGCGAUUUGCAUUGGGAUUGGACCUCCGAGCAGCACACGGCUCUGGGAAUAAUGUGGGAUUUAGAGGAAAAGCAAACAAUCCAGGAACAUUUCAAGCCCAGCUUCUGAAUAUGAGACACUUUUAUGGACCUUCUGCCGGCUAAUUUACUGCGGGAGGUUUGUUAGCGGCUCUGUUUCUGCACUUCAUUAAACCGCGCUGUAUGCUCCAUCCGCACUCCAGGAUCCGCUCCAUAUUACAGCAAAUGGAAAUUUGUCACGAGCGGCGAGACGGAAAUCACAGGAACUGAGAGAUGUGAGGCUCGCCCGGAAAAACGUAGGAAUGGAAGACGCUGUGUGAGAAGCGAUGCGUCUAUUAAACAGGUUCCUGCAUCCCUGCACAUAAUAAAAUGCUUUAUUAAAACCA